rnacentral:rRNA from 1 species
AGUGAACGCUGGCGGUAGGCCUAACACAUGCAAGUCGAACGGCAGCACAAUAAGAGCUUGCUCUUACGGGUGGCGAGUGGCGGACGGGUGAGGAAUACAUCGGAAUCUACUUUUUCGUGGGGGAUAACGUAGGGAAACUUACGCUAAUACCGCAUACGACCUACGGGUGAAAGCAGGUGAUCUUCGGACCUUGCGCGUUUGAAUGAGCCGAUGUCGGAUUAGCUAGUUGGCGGGGUAAAGGCCCACCAAGGCGACGAUCCGUAGCUUGUCUGAGAGGAGGAUCAGCGACACUGGAACUGAGACACGGUCCAGACUACGACGGGAGGCAGAAGUGGGGAAUAUUGGAAAAUGGGCGAAAGCCUGAUCCAGCCAUACCGCGUGGGUGAAGAAGGCCUUCGGGUUGUAAAGCCCUUUUGUUGGGAAAGAAAAGCAGCAGGUUAAUACCCCGCUGUUCUGACGGUAACCAAAGAAUAAGCACCGGCUAACUUCGUG